rnacentral:rRNA from 1 species
UGGGGAAUAUUGCACAAUGGGCGCAAGCCUGAUGCAGCCAUGCCGCGUGUGUGAAGAAGGCCUUCGGGUUGUAAAGCACUUUCAGCGGGGAGGAAGGCGUUAAGGUUAAUAACCUUGGCGAUUGACGUUACCCGCAGAAGAAGCACCGGCUAACUCCGUGCCAGCAGCCGCGGUAAUACGGAGGGUGCAAGCGUUAAUCGGAAUUACUGGGCGUAAAGCGCACGCAGGCGGUUUGUUAAGUCAGAUGUGAAAUCCCCGGGCUCAACCUGGGAACUGCAGCUGAUACUGGCAAGCUUGAGUCUCGUAGAGGGGGGUAGAAUUCCAGGUGUAGCGGUGAAAUGCGUAGAGAUCUGGAGGAAUACCGGUGGCGAAGGCGGCCCCCUGGACGAAGACUGACGCUCAGGUGCGAAAGCGUGGGGAGCAAACAGG